rnacentral:rRNA from 1 species
CCUACGGGUGGCAGCAGUAGGGAAUCUUGGGCAAUGGAGGAAACUCUGACCGAGCAACGCCGCGUGAGUGAUGAAGGUCUUCGGAUCGUAAAGUUCUUUUCUAAGGGAAGAAGGACGUGACGGUACCUUAGGAAUAAGCCUCGGCUAACUACAUGACAGCGGCAGCGGUAAUACGUAGGAAGCGACCGUUAUACGGAAUGACUGGGCGUAAAGGUUGCGGUGGGGGGGUGGCAAGGUCGUAGCUGAACGCCAAGGGUGCACCUUGGAAAGACUACUAAAACUGUUUGACUUGAGUGCAGGAGGGGCAACCGGAAUUCCUAGUGUAGCGGUGGAAUGCGUAGAUAGUAGGAGGAACACCAGUGGCGAAGGCGGGUUGCUAGACUGUAACUGACACUGAGGCACGAAAGCGUGGGGAGCAAACAGGAUUAGAUACCCCAGUAGUC